CUCUCUCUGUCUCUGUCUGUCUCUCUCUCUCUGUCUCUCUGUCUCUCUCUCUCUGUCUCUCUCUCUCUCUCUCUCUUUCUUGGGGCUCGGAUGCAAUUUGCAGAUGGAGAGGACUCCCCGGAGGACAUGCUGAUGAGAAUGCAGUGGGACUGACUGCUGUCGGUGCUGUGCAGAGGUCCUAGGCCCCUGCUCCCGGGUCAGGGGCAUGACCAGGCCUGAGCGGCCCCUGCAAAGAGGGAGGCCCCGAGGGUUUGAGAAGCCAUCCCCAUGCCACAAAUGUGGCAAACGCUUUACUGAAACACCUCCCCCAACCAAGCCCCAGCACACACCCCCGCGGAGCGGCCCUACCAGGACCUCGUGUGCGGGAAGGGCUUCGCACCUGCGCCCACUGCAGCACACACCCAAGGUACCACACUGCGAGAAGCCCUGCCCAUUCCCAGCCUGCGGCCAAGGCUUCCACCAGGGCACGGGCAGGGGGAAGCUCCAGCGGGUGGCAUUCCAGCAGAGCCACACGGCAUGGUUCAGCCAGCACAUGGACCCGCGCGGCUCCAGGCAGCCCCCCAGGACCAAAGCCUGACCGCCAUGCACAGAAGUUCAUAAAGCUGCCAGUCGUUUCUAUCCUGGGACCAGCAACUCUGAUCUUCAGGCAUCUAUGCACUGACUCCAUGUGCUCCCUGGGCCCUGCACGAGGACGCGGCAGUGGGCAUUUCACGUGCCCAGGCCGAGGGAGGCAGCUGGAGUCCUGGGCACAGAGCAGGUGUAUUAGGGUCCCGGGGUGACCGUAUAAACGACCACAAACUGAGUGGCUUGCAACACCAGGAAUUUAUUCUCUCAUGGGUCAGGAGGCCACAAGUCCAAGAUCAAGGUGUCUGCAGUGCUGGUUCCUUCCGGAGGCUCUGAGGGAGAGUCUGUCCCCCCCUCUCUCCGGGCUUCUGGUGGUGCCAGCGGGCCCUGGUGUUCAUUGGCUUGUGGCAGCAUCACUCUGUCUCCGCUUGUCGUCACAUGGCCAUCUCCCUCUCUGUCCUCUCCUCUUGCAAGUACACAGCCACUGGGUAAGACCCCCGACUCCAGAAUGACCUCAUAUUAACUAAUCACAUCUGCAAAGACCCUGUUUCCCCAGCGGUCCCAUUCUGAGAGUCUGUGGACAUGAAUUUGGAGGGGACGCUCUCCAGCCCACUUGGAGGAAGCCGCAAAGCCUGUGGUUGCUUCUAGCAUAACGUACCCCAGCCUUCCCCUCCAAUCUCGCCACACUUUCAAAAUGUAGCCUCUGGGAGCUUUUCCAGUAUUCCAGCGGGGUCAGCAAGGAAAUGGGUAAAACUCAGCCCUUCUGGCCCCGUGUGCUCGGUCCUGGAGAAGGGGCCGCCGGUGUGAGGAUGGUGUUUACCCUCUAGGCCAGCUUACGGAUGCAGCUCUCGGGCACGCAGGACCCAGCCAGAUCCAGCAGGGCCAGCGUUGCAACCACUCGCUUCCCCGACGUGGGCUCACUUUGCUCACGUCCGGGCUGGUGCUGGAGGUGGCUGCCCUCUUCCCAGCCUGACAGCUGGGGCCAUCAAGUGCCUGGUCCGUGACAUUCUUAUAGAUGGGGAAACUGAGGCCCUGAGAGCUUUACGCACCUUGUCCAGGUGGUGGAACCAACUUUCAACCCAGGCCAGAACCCCCACUGCCUCAUCCUCCUGGCUUGCCUUGACAGUCAUUCACACAGUUGAACUUGGUAUAAAGUUUAUUUUCUAUCACUGUUUGUGAAACUUCCUAAAUGAACUUAUUGGUGGCAUUAAAAGAGGUAGAGAUGAGGGAAAUGGAGUUAAAGAAAAGAAAAUGGCCUUUGCUUUUGAUGGCAGGGCUCAUGGCACCAGCAGAGGUGUGCCACGUUUAGGCCACCCUGUCUACACUGUGUGUUCCCCGGAGCUCAGGGUGAGGGCCUCUGCAAGUGAGAGAGGGCCUGGGGAGCCCACGUGACAACAGCCUGGCCACAUUCCCUGCAGGAAGGUCUCCCUGGGCCUCCUGUGGCCUUGGUGGAAGCCCACCUCGCAUCUGGCUUCUAAGGAAAACUCCCCUCGUUGGGAGUGGGGGCAGCUGGUGGGGCCCCCGUGGCCAGAUCACGGUCUGUGGCCCGGAUCUUGGCCGGCUGAGGUCCGGCAGGGCCUGGCUUGCCUGGUACAGGGCUGGAUGGGAAGGGACCCUUGCCCACCCUCAGCUCACGGCAGCCAGCUGUGACCCCAGGUGAACGCUGGAACUUGUACCCAAAUGCCAAGGACCCUGCUGGACUGCCUGAGCCUCUAGCGUGGGAGGACCCGAGAUAAUUUCUCUGCUCUUCCCGUGGGGCAGGCAGCAGGGAGGGGCUGCGACUCUGAGACGUGGACCUUGGAAACGCACUGAGGUGCCACAGAUGAGAGCUUCAGCCUGUUGGGAGCACAGGGCUGAGAACAGCAGUUAGGAAAGGCCUCUGUGAAGACGGCGGCUCGGGGGAUAAUGCUUGCAAAGGAACAGGGCGAGGGAGACAGGAGCACUUCCUGUGGCCCCCCAGCUCUUGCUGGCCGUGCACAAGGGAGGGCACUGCUCUGUUCCACGGGGACAGUUUCAGGUGUUCUAGAACAUUCAGUAUUCUAUCUGUAGUUAAAGGUCAACUCCACCUUUAGUUUGGAAGGACCUUAGAACAUAUAUGUGCCUUUGUGUCUUGGUUAAAGAAAAAAGAGAAAUCAAA